rnacentral:rRNA from 1 species
CCUACGGGGGGCAGCAGUGGGGAAUAUUGGACAAUGGGCGAAAGCCUGAUCCAGCCAUGCCGCGUGUGUGAAGAAGGCCUUCGGGUUGUAAAGCACUUUCAGUGGGGAAGAAAGCCUUGGGGCCAAUACCCUCGAGGAAGGACAUCACCCACAGAAGAAGCACCGGCUAACUCCGUGCCAGCAGCCGCGGUAAUACGGAGGGUGCGAGCGUUAAUCGGAAUUACUGGGCGUAAAGCGCGCGUAGGCGGUCUGAUAAGCCGGUUGUGAAAGCCCCGGGCUCAACCUGGGAACGGCAUCCGGAACUGUCAGGCUAGAGUGCAGGAGAGGAAGGUAGAAUUCCCGGUGUAGCGGUGAAAUGCGUAGAGAUCGGAAGGAAUACCAGUGGCGAAGGCGGCCUUCUGGACUGACACUGACGCUGAGGUGCGAAAGCGUGGGUAGCAAACAGGAUUAGAUACCCUUGUAGUC